rnacentral:rRNA from 1 species
AUUGAACGCUGGCGGAAUGCUUUACACAUGCAAGUCGAACGGCAGCACGGACUUCGGUCUGGUGGCGAGUGGCGAACGGGUGAGUAAUGUAUCGGAACGUGCCCAGUCGUGGGGGAUAACGUAGUGAAAAUUACGCUAAUACCGCAUACGAUCUAUGGAUGAAAGCGGGGGAUCGCAAGACCUCGCGCGAUUGGAGCGGCCGAUAUCAGAUUAGGUAGUUGGUGGGGUAAAGGCCCACCAAGCCAACGAUCUGUAGCUGGUCUGAGAGGACGACCAGCCACACGGGAACUGAGACACGGUCCAGACUCCUACGGGAGGCAGCAGUGGGGAAUUUUGGACAAUGGGCGAAAGCCUGAUCCAGCCAUUCCGCGUGCAGGAUGAAGGCCCUCGGGUUGUAAACUGCUUUUGUACAGAACGAAAAGGUUUCUACUAAUACUAGGAGCUCAUGACGGUACUGUAAGAACAAGCACCGGCUAACUACGUGCCAGCAGCCGCCGCGG